rnacentral:lncRNA from 1 species
ACAACUCACACCCACCCGUCUCCUUCCAACUCAAUUUUCUCUCCCUCAUCUCUCUUAUAAAACAGAACACACAAAAGAAAAAGGGAGGGGAAUCAGUCAAGAAACCCCAUUGAAACCAGCUGAAAAUGCAUCAAAACUCAGCCACUAAACAGCCCCAAAAUCACUCCGAAAACAGCCUGAAAUCACCCCCUAAAACAGACCAAAAAGCAUCAAAAAUAGCCCAAACAACGAGCUGAAAACCUCCACCAAACAGCUCCAAAAACAGUCUCGAAAUACCUCAGAAAUAGCCUUGUCUCCGUCGUAAUUAUACCAUCUCCAACCAGCUCCUUUUCCUCUAACAAACAGCUGUAAAACCGUCUUGAAACCAGUCCCAAACCCAGCCAGAAAUGACCCUCAUUUCUGUUUCCAAAAUGGCACCACAUGUUCCUAAAAAACGACACGAAGACGUACAUGUCGCAACUGAGGUUCCUUCGGCAUCCGUCGCUCGUGGUUUGCUAUUAAGGUACAAUGAAAGCAUUGUUGUUGUGCUCAUUUUCAACUGCUGUAGAUCUCAUUUAGCGAAUAAAUAUUGGAGGUCCAUUUCUUGACCUUACUUUCUAUUUUUGUUUUGCGUUGGAGAUAUAAAAAUUUAUGUUUCGUUCAUAUUAUUUUUUUCAGACAAACUAUGAGUGUAUCUUGAUUUUGCUUGAGUGCAUUGAUUGUUGGAUACUUUGUUAUUCUUCAUUUCUUAGCAUUGAACUUGCUUCAGUAGUUUUCUUUUUGCCUAAGAGCUUUAUUGGUAGUUUGGAUCUGGGUUUAAUUGAUAAUGGGCUGGAUUACAAAAUGAACUAUUAGCUAAGAUAUUUGGGCCAUGGGGUGGUAAGAACUUGGUUAUUUAGAGUUUAAAUAGGGCAUAGAUAUAUGUAAGAACUGUGUGGCAUAAGACUUGAGCCAUGUGGAAAUAAAAUGAAGAGAAUGUCAAUUUUGUUAGAUCAAAUGACUUAGUAAUAGAUGUAAAAAUCAUUUCGAUAACUCCACAUCCAUAAACUAUUGUCCUUACAAUAAUCGCUAGUUUAAAAAAUAAUUCUUAUAAACACUCGUAGUUUGCUUUUAGGCACGUUAAUAAUAAAACAUCGUGACUAUGGGUACGAUUUUCAUGGCAUAGUCAUGAUACAUAAUUCUCAAAUCUAGUGCGUGUUUCAUGCGACUUGACCAUAACUUCAAAUAAUAAUAAAAAAUAAACAUGUUGCAAAUCGCAGGUGCGUUUCACGUGGCGCAAUUCGCAAUAUGUACAAAAAUAAUGAGUGUGUGACAACGCGACUUGUUCAGAUAAUUCCAUAUUUAAUAAUUAAAAAACGAAUAGAUAAAACAUGUAAACAAAUAAAUCACAAUUUAUCCAAAAUUAAUUCAAGCCAAGCUGUAGUCAAUAAAGCGACCGUGCUAGAAUCACGGGACUCGAGGAAUGCCUUACACAUUCUCCCCGGUCAACAGAAUUCCUUAUCCGGACUUUAUUUUUGCAGACCAAUAAUAAAAGAGUCAAAUCUUCCUUUGAAUAGGGAUUCAAAUAAAAGGUGACUUGGAACACCCAAAAAUCAAAUUCCAAGUGGCAACUCUGAAUAAUAAAAUAAUCCCUACUUCAAAAAUAUCACUUUAAUUAAAAAGACUCUUUAACCCACAACAAUUCAUAAUAUCUUUCUUUUGGGGGGUAAAAAGAGGUGUGACACCCGAGUAGAGCUCAGCACAGCCUUUCAGCUGCAGACCGAAGGGAAGUCGGAGCGGACGGUUCAAAUUCUGAAGGAUAUGCUCAAAGCAUGUGUGAUUGACUUCGGAGGGCAGUGGGAUCGAUUCUUGCCUUUGGCCGAGUUUGCUUAUAACAACAAUUAUUAGUCCAGCAUUAAGAUGGAUCCAUUUGAGGCUUUGUAUGGUCGGCGAUGUCGUUCGCCCAUUGGAUGGUUGAGCCCGGCGAGGUUAGGUUAUAUGGAACUGAUUUAGUGAAGGAUGCCUUGGAGAAGGUGAAGUUGAUUCAAGAGAUACUUCGCACAGCAUAGCCACAUACAGAAGAGUUAUGCAGAUCAGAAGGCACAUGAUUUAUCAUUUAUGGUGGGCAAGAAGGAUCUCUUGAAAGUCUCGCCGAUGAAGGGAAUCGUGAGGUUCGAGAAGAAGGGCAAGUUAAGCCCAAGGUUUAUUGGUCCAUUUGAGGUGUUGAGGCGAGUUGGGGAGGUUGCUUAUGAGCUUGCCUUGCCUCCCAGUCUAUCGGAAGUUCAUCCGAUCUUUCACGUGUCUAUGCUCCGAAAGUAUCAUGCCGACAGGGCGCAUGUGUUAGACCACAGCACGGUUCAGCUAGAUGAAAGCAUGGGUUAUGAGGAGGAGCCAGUUGCCAUUGUUGACAGGCAGGUUCACCAGUUGAGGUCCAAGAAGAUUUCUGCGGUAAAGGUCUAGUGGAGGGGUCAACCAGUCGAGGAGGUGACUUGGGAGACCGAGAAGGACAUGUGGAGCAGAUAACCACACCUAUUCAACACUCCAGGUAUGAUUCUAGACUUGUUCGAGGACGAAGGUUUGUUUAAGAGGUGGAGAAUGUAACGACCCAAUCGGUUUUUUUACUUUUCAGAUUCCCUUUACCUGAUUAAGACUCUUCGUAUAUGCGUUUAUUGUUUUAUGACUUGCGGGGAUGGUUGGUUCGGGUUUGGAAGGGUUCAGAUUGAAAUCUGAACACUUAGUUCCUUAAUAGUGGCCUAAUAUGGUCAAGUUUGACUAAAGUCAACAUUUUGAGUAAAUGACUUCGGAAUCAGGAUUUGACAGUCCCAAAAGGUUCAUAUGAUGAUUUUGGACUUGGGCGUGUGUUCGGAUCGAGUUUCGAACGACAUGAGAGCGUUUCGUAGCUUAAUGUUGAAAGUUGGCGCAUUGAAGGUUUUCAAGUUCCUUAAGUUUGGUUUGGAGUAGGAUUUGGUAUUAUCGAGGUCCGUUUGGUGAUAUGUGACUUAUACACAAACUUUGGUGUCAUUCUGAGUAGUUUAAGUAUGAUUCGGCGCAUUCGGAGUAAGUUGAAAAGCUUGAAGUUCAUAACUUGAUUCAAUUUGGUUUUGGGGUGCGAUUCUUAGUUUUGAUGUUGUUUUACGUGUUUGGAGAGUUCGAGCAGGUACGUAUUAUAUUUAUGGACUUGUUGGUGCAUUUGGAUGGGGUCCUGGGGGGCUCGGGUGUGUUUUGGACCGCCCGGAGCUCAGUCCAAAAUGCAGUCACUGUUGGUUCUGGUUUCCUUCUUCACGAUCGCGUAGGUGGGGUCGCGUUCGUGAAGAAGGAAAAUUGGGGGACUGGAAAUUGUGCUUCGCAUUCACGAAAACUAGUCCGCAUUAGCGAAAGUAUGGGACAUGUGGCCUUCGCGUUCGUGUGAAUGGGCCUGCGUUCGCGCAGGGUAGGUUGGGCAGGGGUAGCCACUGAUGGUCUUCGAAGAAGCCCUCGCAUUCGUGUAGGGAAGGCCAAGCAAGCCUUCGCAUUCGUGAGGCUCUGAUCCCGUUCGUGAUACCCAUUUUUCUGAGCUUAGGCAGCUUGCCUUCGCGAUCGCGAGGCCUCUUCCGCGAUCGCGAAGAAGAAAAUACCUGGGCAGUGUAUUUUAAAAUCGGGACUUAGGCUCAUUUUCUUCAUUUUUCUCACUUGUUGGUCGAAUUUAGAGCUCUUUGACGAGGGAUUUUUAACUAGCACUUUGAGAUAAGUAAUUUCUAUACAUUAUGAGUUUAAAUCAUGCAUUACGGGUAGAUUUUAGCAUAGAAAUUGUAAAAAUUUUAGGAGAAUGUUGGAAAAUUUAGGUUUUGAUAAAUAUGGGAUUAGACCAAGAAAAUGAUUAUGGAAUUGAGUAGAAAUUAUAUAUUUGGGUUCGUGAGGUUAUGGGUAAUAUUUAUCUUCAAAAAUUUCUGAAAUCCCCAAUUUGGGUAGGGUAAUUACUCUAAUAGCUAAAUUAUGACCUUUUGAGUAUAUAUUGAUUAAUUUAUAUAAUAUUUGGCUGGGUUUCAGAUUGUUCGGCACUGACUAGAGGCUUUUAGAGUGAUACGGGGACCGGAAAGUGAACUUUGGAACGAGAUAAGUCUCUUGCCUAACCUUAUAAGAGGGAAUUUACCCCAUAGGUAUUUUAAAUUAUAUGUUACUAAAUGUGGGUGCUAUGUAUGCUCGAAGUGACGAGAAUCCGUGCGUAGCUACAAAUCAUGCUUAUGUCCGGAUAUUUAUAGGACUCUAUCAUGUAAUACUUAUAUUAAUUGCACUCUACUUGUUAAUUUAAGUACUUAAAUUAUAUUGAAACUUGAUAAAGGAUUCGUAAAGAUCGAAUUUUAUUUACUUUGAGUUUUGGCGGGUUACUUGACCGUUGGUAGAAAUUGUGCCUCCUUGUAUAUUAGUCUUGUAGUAGCCAUUAAAUCGGAGUUCGUAGAGUAUUCUCUCUUCUUGUGGAACGGGCCGAACGCCUCGGCAGUAUAAUAGAUGCAUUUAUGGUUCGCGUCGAUCGACCCUCGGCAGUGUACACAUUAUUCUGGAUCGGGUCGUACGACCUCGAUAUAAAUCAUGUGUAAUAAUGCUCGGAGUCCCACUUGAUAUUACUUCCAUGACUUGACAAAAAUAUAAUUUACUUGAUGGCUCGUAUUUGUAGAAGUUAGUAGGUGCUAAUUGGAGCUCUUAAUUGACAUCUAGUUAAAGAGUCACUUAUUUACCGUUCAUUAUUACGUUAAUAUUAUUGAUGUAUUCCAUGCCUAUUUUGAAUUUCUGUAGUUUAUUUAUUGGCCCAUAGUAAGUGUCGAUAUCGACCCCUCGUCACUAUUUCUUCGAGGUUAGACUAGAUACUUACUGAGUACAUGUUGUUUAUGUACUCAUGCCACACUUCAGCACUAAUCAUGCAGGAUCUGAGGCAGGUGCAUCUGACAGUCAUUCAGGCGCAUACCCCCGUUACCCCGAGGCAUAGUGGUGAGCUGCUCUUUGUGUCCGUUCUGCAGUACCCGCAGUCUCUCUUUUGUAUUUACUUUCUGUCUAUCUUAUUCCAGACAGUAGUAUAGGUGAUUUUAUAUAUUCUACUAGUUGCUCAUACACUUGUGACACCGGGUUUUGAGAGUAUUCUAGUAGUCACAUUACGGUUUUGAGUAUUAAAUUCACUGUAUUUGCUCUCUUAUUAGUUUAUGCUUUACUUUACU